rnacentral:rRNA from 1 species
AUACGUAGGGGGCGAGCGUUGUCCGGAAUGACUGGGCGUAAAGGGCGUGUAGGCGGUUGGCUAAGUCUGGAGUGAAAGUCCUGCUUUCAAGGUGGGAAUAGCUUUGGCUACUGGAUGACUUGAGUGCGGAAGAGGGAAGGGGAAUUCCCAGUGUAGCGGUGAAAUGCGUAGAGAUUGGGAGGAACACCAGUGGCGAAGGCGACUUACUGGGCCGUAACUGACGCUGAGGCGCGAAAGCGUGGGGAGCGAACAGGAUUAGAUACCCUGGUAGUCCACGCGGUAAACGAUGAAUGCUAGGUGUUGCGGGUAUCGACCCCUGCAGUGCCGGAGUAAACACAAUAAGCAUUCCGCCUGGGGAGUACGGCCGCAAGGUUGAAACUCAAAUGAAUUGGCGGGG